GCACAUGUGCUUCAGAGAUAUUUUAUUGUCACGGGUUAAUCUGCUCUUGCCUUCUUCUAUUCAAGGCCUGCUGAGGGACCUGUCCAGCCCCUAGCACGGGGUAAUGCUAGAACAUAGGUCUACCCUGACCAAACCUUUUAUAUGAAACCUCCCUUUUAUAGUCUGAGCUUCAUAGAUCUUGAAGAUCCUUUUUGUUGGAGUAACUUCAGUGCUAGCGGGAUCAGCUCUGCACUGAGAAAUUCACUCGGAGAAGAGUGGGGUGAAUUCUGCUUUGGUUUAUGUCCCUUUUCAUGUCCUGCUUGUAAUAAGGGUUUGAUGGACAAAAUUGCUGGCAAGAAACUGAAACUGGAUUAUGAUCCCAAGAGGUCAUACUCCAGUGGCUACUAUUCUAAAGCCUGCCCAGGACAAGUUCUGGGGAUCAGCUGCCUCUGACGAGAGCCCUCCUCUCUCCAACUAUCUGCUCAGGCUACUUGUUAAGGAGGGGAUAACAGGGAAACUGGAAGGGAAUCAAAACUCUCAUCCAUUGUGGAAAAGAAACAAAAAUGCUGCACAUAUUUAAAUUUGUGGGCGAAACAAAGGAAUUAUCAAAUAGUUUGACUGCUA